GGGGAGCUGUGUCUGAAAGCGAAUGAUUUGCAUUUUAAUUGAAAAAUAAAUGAAAACGGUUUGGCAAAUUCUGAGGUUGCAAAAAAGGCUGAAAGGGCCGGAGUAAGGAAGCCGACGCGCCCCCCUGACUUUCUCUAAGCGUGCGAACAAACGCGCCUGUUUUCAAGUUCCUCGUUUUAGCCUGCUCUUCCUGUUCCGCAGCCUGCGCCAUGCACUUGUGCGCCCUACCCUCGGUCUAACCCUUGACUCAGAGCCGCCUAGCGCGUUUUGAUACGUCUCUUUUAAGUUGAAGGAACUGCCACUAAGUUCAAGUGUGUUUGCUUGAAUCAUCUGGACCACUUCUUUAAUAACUCCCUCCCUCCGGCGGACGAGUGCGGCCUGUUCGGCUGAGCUGGGAGGCCGGCUGGGUUUAUGUUAAAUGGUGGGAGAGGUCGAGCGGCGGCUAAGUAGAAACUCAAGGGAGAGGGAAGAUCCACGAGCUUGGCACAGCCCGCUCUCGGAGAAGGAAGGUGGGGAGCAGGGAGAGCGUGUCUGUCGGUCUCUCUGUGCCUCCUGUAAAUGCUUUGGGUGGGAGCUGGACCCUUGGCUGUUUCGGCUGACCAGGAAUUAAGGAGCCGAUCUGGGAAGGGUUGGGGUACAGAGAGGCCAAAAACGCCGGAUGGUGCAGAGCGUUGUAGGAUCCUGUGGUCGGCGGCCUCCCAGCGGAGGCCAACACAGAACGUGUGAGGGAAGCGACCAGCGUAGACAGCCUCGUCGGACCUACAACCAAAAAGACCUCAACCUCAAGCCGGGACAUCCCUUGGUGAUCUGCAGAGUGGCCGCACGGCAGCCCUGCCGCACAAUCGCCCAACACGCACUGAGCUCUCUUGGGGGAUACGUGCACUCGAAAGGGAAAGUUCUGGAAGGUCCAAGAAGAUGGAGGAUAUUAAGGUCCAGACAUGUCUGCAACAUCAAUACCGAAUUCAGAAAUGAGAGUAAAUGCAAGAAAACACCAGUGACCUACUAGAGAGAAAAUUGCCUUGAACUGUAGCAAAGCACACAUAACUUCAGCAAAGCACAUAAACGUAGGUGUAAUCCACUCCUCCCCACCUCCCACCCCCC
rnacentral:lncRNA from 1 species